rnacentral:rRNA from 1 species
UAGCCUUGACAUACUACAGAAUUUGACAGAGAUGUUGAAGUGCCUUCGGGAGCUGUAAUACAGGUGCUGCACGGCUGUCGUCAGCUCGUGUCGUGAGAUGUUGGGUUAAGUCCCGCAACGAGCGCAACCCUCGUCCUUAGUUGCUAGCAGUUCGGCUGAGCACUCUAAGGAGACUGCCUUCGUAAGGAGGAGGAAGGUGAGGACGACGUCAAGUCAUCAUGGCCCUUAUGGCUAGGGCUACCCACGUGCUACAAUGGGGCGUACAGAGUGGUACGAUUCCGCGAGGUGGAACUAAUCACAUAAAGCGUCUCUCAGUUCGGAUAGGAGUCUGCAACUCGACUCCAUGAAGCUGGAAUCACUAGUAAUCGUAGAUCAGCAAUGCUACGGUGAAUACGUUCCGCGGGUCU